GUCUCCGCCCAUACCACCCUGACCACACCGACCCUCAUUUGAUCUCGAAAGCGAAGCAGGGCCAGGCCUGGUUAGUACUUGGGUGGGAGAGGGAGAGAGACACCCACAGCCCCUGCAGGUGGUGGCA
rnacentral:rRNA from 1 species